rnacentral:rRNA from 1 species
CCUACGGGGGGCAGCAGUGGGGGAUAUUGCACAAUGGGGGAAACCCUGAUGCAGCGACGCCGCGUGGGUGAAGAAGCGCCUCGGCGCGUAAAGCCCUGUCAGCAGGGAAGAAAAUGACGGUACCUGAAGAAGAAGCACCGGCUAACUACGUGCCAGCAGCCGCGGUAAUACGUAGGGGGCAAGCGUUAUCCGGAUUUACUGGGUGUAAAGGGGGCGCAGACGGCGAUGCAAGCCAGGAGUGAAAGCCCGGGGCCCAACCCCUGGACUGCUCUUGGAACUGCGUGGCUAGAGUGCAGGAGGGGCAGGCGGAAUUCGUGGUGUAGCGGUGAAAUGCGUAGAGAUCAGGAGGAACACCGGUGGCGAAGGCGGCCUGCUGGACUGCAACUGACGUUGAGGCCCGAAAGCGUGGGGAGCAAACAGGAUUAGAUACCCUUGUAGUC